AAAUAUGCGCACACAGUUCCUAUAAAUGGUGAACGAAGCAUUCGAGCACGGAUGCCUGAAGUAUGUGCUAAAGUUAUAGGCGGCGUCAUUCCAAGCAUUUUGCUACUCCAAGGAGAAACAACCGAUAUGAAAGCUACAUAUAUAUGCUUCCUUUCUGCGGCUGUCCUCGUUGUGAUUACCAAUGGCGGCCUGCCAAAUGACAAGGAACCUGAUCCAGAAACCUGCACACCAAGUUGCGAUGGAUUACAGGUGGGACAACGCUGCGGUGUGAACUGCACUUGCUGCUACCACACACGCUUCAACCAAUUUCUAAUCUGCAUAGCGGAUUCCUCAAGGACACCAUAUUGUGUUGCGCGGCCGAACAACGCAGGAGGGUAGAUCACGUGCAUUGUUCGCUCUGACCAUUUACUUGUUUACUUACAUGUUGUUGUCGCAUAUCUCAUGGGUUACGAAUGUGUCAUGCAACUGAUUAUGCAGUUACACAAAAAUGUUGAACCUAAGGCAACGAAUAAAUCAGU